rnacentral:rRNA from 1 species
UACAGAGGGUGCGAGCGUUGUCCGGAAUCACUGGGCGUAAAGGGCGCGUAGGUGGCGCUCCAAGUCCGUGGUGAAAGCUCGAUGCUCAACAUCGAGUCGGCCACGGAGACUGGAGGGCUCGAGCACUGUAGGGGCAGAUGGAAUUCCGGGUGUAGCGGUGGAAUACGUAGAGAUCCGGAAGAACACCGGUGGCGAAGGCGGUCUGCUGGGCAGUAGCUGACACUGAUGCGCGACAGCGUGGGGAGCAAACAGG